rnacentral:rRNA from 1 species
GGGGUGCUCGAGUGGCGAACGGGUGAGUAACACGUGAGUAACCUGCCCUUGACUUUGGGAUAACUUCAGGAAACUGGGGCUAAUACCGGAUAGGAGCUCCUGCUGCAUGGUGGGGGGUGGAAAGUUUCGGCGGUUGGGGAUGGACUCGCGGCUUAUCAGCUUGUUGGUGGGGUAGUGGCUUACCAAGGCUUUGACGGGUAGCCGGCCUGAGAGGGUGACCGGCCACAUUGGGACUGAGAUACGGCCCAG